GACCUCGUGCUACAAGAUGAGCUUGCGUCGGAUUAGCUAGUUGGUGGAGGUAAUGGCCUACCAAGGCGACGAUCCGUAGCUGGUCUGAGAGGACGAUCAGCCACACUGGGACUGAGACACGGCCCAGACUCCUACGGGAGGCAGCAGUGGGGAAUAUUGGACAAUGGGGGAAACCCUGAUCCAGCAAUGCCGCGUGUGUGAAGAAGGCCUUCGGGUUGUAAAGCACUUUCAGUAGGGAAGAAAGUCUCAAGGCUAAUACCCUUGAGCGUUGACGUUACCUACAGAAGAAGCACUGGCUAACUCUGUGCCAGCAGCCGCGGUAAUACAGAGAGUGCAAGCGUUAAUCGGAAUCACUGGGCGUAAAGCGCGCGUAGGUGGAUGUUUAAGUCGGAUGUGAAAGCCCUGGGCUUAACCUAGGAACUGCAUCCGAUACUGGAUGUCUCGAGUAUGGUAGAGGGAAGUGGAAUUUCCGGUGUAGCGGUGAAAUGCAUAGAUAUCGGAAAGAACACCAGUGGCGAAGGCGGCUUCCUGGACUAAUACUGACACUAAGGCGCGAAAGCGUGGGGAGCAAACAGGAUUAGAGACCCUGGUAGUCCACGCCGUCAACGAUGAGAACUAGCUGUUAGGGAGUUUACUUUCUAGUAGCGAAGCUAACGCGUUAAGUUCUCCGCCUGGGGAGUACGGCCGCAAGGUUAAAACUCAAAGAAAUUGACGGGGGCCCGCACAAGCGGUGGAGCAUGUGGUUUAAUUCGAUGCAACACGAAAAACCUUACCUACCCUUGACAUCCUCGGAAUUUGUCAGAAAUGACUUGGUGCCUUCGGGAACCGAGUGACAGGUGCUGCAUGGCUGUCGUCAGCUCGUGUCGUGAGAUGUUGGGUUAAGUCCCGUAACGACCGCAACCCUUGUCCUUAGUUGCCAGCGGAAUCUGCCGGGAACUUUAAGGAGACUGCCGGUAAUAAACCGGAGGAAGGCGGGGAUGACGUCAAGUCAUCAUGGCCCUUACGGGUAGGGCUACACACGUGCUACAAUUGGCAGUACAAAGGGUUGCCAAACCGCGAGGUGGAGCUAAUCCCAAAAAGCUGCUCUCAGUCCGGAUUGGAGUCUGCAACUCGACUCCAUGAAGCUUGAAUCGCUAGUAAUCGCGAAUCAGAAUGUCGCGGUGAAUACGUUCUCGGCCCUUGUACA
rnacentral:rRNA from 1 species